GAUGAACGCUGGCGGCGUGCCUAAUACAUGCAAGUCGAGCGAACAGACGCGGCGCUUCCCCCCCCGACCCCACCGCCCGCCCCCCCCGUACCACGUCCCUCACCCCCCUAUCCCCCUCGCAUCACCCCGGCACCCCGGCGCUCCUACCCGCUACUCUCCUCAACCCCACGCUUCCACCGCGACACACGCUCUUGCUCUCCCCUAUCGCUCCCUCCCCGCCGCAUUAGCUAGUUGGUAAGGUAACGCCUUACCAAGGCAACGCUGCGUAGCCGACCUGAGAGGGUGAUCGGCCACACUGGAACUGAGACACGGUCCAGACUCCUACGGGAGGCAGCAGUAGGGAAUCUUCCGCAAUGGGCGAAAGCCUGACGGAGCAACGCCGCGUGAGUGAUGAAGGUCUUCGGAUCGUAAAACUCUGUUAUUAGGGAAGAACAAAUGUGUAAGUAACUAUGCACGUCUUGACGGUACCUAAUCAGAAAGCCACGGCUAACUACGUG
rnacentral:rRNA from 1 species